rnacentral:misc_RNA from 1 species
GAUGAAGAACGCAGUGAAAUGCGAUACGUAAUGUGAAUUGCAGAAUUCAGUGAAUCAUCGAGUCUUUGAACGCACAUUGCGCCCCCUGGUAUUCCGGGGGGCAUGCCUGUCCGAGCGUCAUUGCUGCCCUCAAGCACGGCUUGUGUGUUGGGCCUCCGUCCUCCUCCCGGGGGACGGGCCCGAAAGGCAGCGGCGGCACCGCGUCCGGUCCUCGAGCGUAUGGGGCUUCGUCACCCGCUCUUGUAGGCCCGGCCGGCGCUUGCCGACACAUCAAUCUUUUUUCCAGUUUGACCUCGGAUCAGGUAGGGAUACCCGCUGAACUUAAGCAUAUCAAUAAGCGGAGGA